rnacentral:rRNA from 1 species
AUUGAACGCUGGCGGCGUGCCUAACACAUGCAAGUCGAGCGGCAGCGCGGGAGCAAUCCUGGCGGCGAGCGGCGGACGGGUGAGUAAUGCUUGGGAAUCUGCCUGUUAGUGGGGGACAACCCGGGGAAACUCGGGCUAAUACCGCAUACGCACUACGGUGGAAAGCCGGGGACCGCAAGGCCUGGCGCUAACAGAUGAGCCCAAGUCGGAUUAGCUAGUUGGUAGGUAACGGCCACCAAGGCGACGAUCCGUAACUGGUCUGAGAGGACGACCAGUCACACCGGAACUGAGACACGGUUCGGACUCCUACGGGAGGCAGCAGUGGGGAAUAUUGGACAAUGGGGGAAACCCUGAUCCAGCGACGCCGCGUGGGUGAAGAAGGCCUGCGGGUUGUAAAGCCCUUUCAGUGGGGAAGAAAAGCCU